rnacentral:rRNA from 1 species
GGGCGUAGAGGGCUCGCAGGCGGUUUCUUAAGUCUGAUGUGAAAGCCCCCGGCUCAACCGGGGAGGGUCAUUGGAAACUGGGAAACUUGAGUGCAGAAGAGGAGAGUGGAAUUCCACGUGUAGCGGUGAAAUGCGUAGAGAUGUGGAGGAACACCAGUGGCGAAGGCGACUCUCUGGUCUGUAACUGACGCUGAGGAGCGAAAGCGUGGGGAGCGAACAGGAUUAGAUACCCUGGUAGUCCACGCCGUAAACGAUGAGUGCUAAGUGUUAGGGGGUUUCCGCCCCUUAGUGCUGCAGCUAACGCAUUAAGCACUCCGCCUGGGGAGUACGGUCGCAAGACUGAAACUCAAAGGAAUUGACGGGGGCCCGCACAAGCGGUGGAGCAUGUGGUUUAAUUCGAAGCAACGCGAAGAACCUUACCAGGUCUUGACAUCCUCUGACAACCCUAGAGAUAGGGCUUUCCCUUCGGGGACAGAGUGACAGGUGGUGCAUGGUUGUCGUCAGCUCGUGUCGUGAGAUGUUGGGUUAAGUCCCGCAACGAGCGCAACCCUUGAUCUUAGUUGCCAGCAUUCAGUUGGGCACUCUAAGGUGACUGCCGGUGACAAACCGGAGGAAGGGUGGGAUGACGUCAAAUCAUCAUGCCCCUUAUGACCUGGGCUACACACGUGCUA